GACGAACGCUGGCGGCGUGCUUAACACAUGCAAGUCGAACGGAAAGGCCCUGCUUUUGUGGGGUGCUCGAGUGGCGAACGGGUGAGUAACACGUGAGUAACCUGCCCUUGACUUUGGGAUAACUUCAGGAAACUGGGGCUAAUACCGGAUAGGAGCUCCUGCUGCAUGGUGGGGGUUGGAAAGUUUCGGCGGUUGGGGAUGGACUCGCGGCUUAUCAGCUUGUUGGUGGGGUAGUGGCCUACCAAGGCUUUGACGGGUAGCCGGCCUGAGAGGGUGACCGGCCACAUUGGGCCUGAGAUCCGGCCCAGACUCUUACGGGAGGCAGCAGUGGGGAUUAUUGCACAAUGGGCGGAGGCCUGAUGCAGAAACGCCGCGUGCGGGAUGACGCCCUUCGGGUUGUAACCCGCUUUCGCCUGUGACGAAGCGUGAGGGACGGUAAUGGUAAAGAAGCACCGGCUAACUACGUG
rnacentral:rRNA from 1 species